GUCUGUAUGAAGUUAUAUGGAGUCUGACCUGCCCAUUGAAUAAUUUAAAAGGCCGCGGUAUACUAACUGUGCAAAGGUAGCAUAAUCAUUAGUUUUUUAAUUGAAGGCUUGUAUGAACGGUUGGACAAAGGAUAAUCUGUUUUUAUUUUUGUUUUUGAAUUUAACUUUUAAGUGAAAAGGCUUAAAUAAAUUUAAGGGACGAUAAGACCCUAUAAAUCUUUACAUUUAGUUAUUUUUUUAUUAAUUUGUAAUGUAGAUAAAGAUAAAUAAAUAAUAUUUGUUGUAUUGGGGUGAUAAGAAUAUAAAAAUUAACUGUUCUAAAUUUAUAAUCAAAGUUAUUUGAAAAUAAUAGAUCCUUUUUAGAGAUUAAAAGUUUAAGUUACUUUAGGGAUAACAGCGUUAUUUUUCUUGAGAGUUCUUAUCGAAAGAAAAGUUUGCGACCUCGAUGUUGAAUUAAAAUUUCUUUAUGGUGUAGUAGUUAUAAGAGAGAGUCUGUUCGACUUUUAAAUUUUUACAUGAUUUGAGUUCAGACCGGCGUAAG
rnacentral:rRNA from 1 species